GGCGGCGUAGCCAAAUGUUAAGGCAAAAGCCCGCAAGGCUUUGAGUCCCGCGUUCGAUUCCGGGCGCCGCCUCCA
rnacentral:tRNA from 1 species